rnacentral:rRNA from 1 species
AGUUUGAUCCUGGCUCAGAUUGAACGCUGGCGGCAGGCCUAACACAUGCAAGUCGAGCGGAUGAGUGGAGCUUGCUCCAUGAUUCAGCGGCGGACGGGUGAGUAAUGCCUAGGAAUCUGCCCGGUAGUGGGGGAUAACGUCCGGAAACGGGCGCUAAUACCGCAUACGUCCUACGGGAGAAAGCAGGGGACCUUCGGGCCUUGCGCUAUCGGAUGAGCCUAGGUCGGAUUAGCUAGUUGGUGAGGUAAUGGCUCACCAAGGCGACGAUCCGUAACUGGUCUGAGAGGAUGAUCAGCCACACUGGAACUGAGACACGGUCCAGACUCCUACGGGAGGCAGCAGUGGGGAAUUUUGGACAAUGGGCGAAAGCCUGAUCCAGCCAUUCCGCGUGAGUGAAGAAGGCCUUCGGGUUGUAAAGCUCUUUCGGCAGGAACGAAACGGCGGAUAUUAAUACUAUCCGUUACUGACGGUACCUGAAGAAGAAGCACCGGCUAACUACGUGCCAGCAGCCGCGGUAAUAC